AGAGUUUGAUCCUGGCUCAGGAUGAACGCUGGCGGUAUGCUUAACACAUGCAAGUCGAACGGAUGUUUUCGGACAUUAGUGGCGGACGGGUGAGUAACGCGUGAGAAUCUAGCUUCAGGUUGGGGACAACAGUUGGAAACGACUGCUAAUACCGAAUAUGCCGAGAGGUGAAAGAUUAAUUGCCUGAAGAAGAGCUCGCGUCUGAUUAGCUAGUUGGUGGGGUAAGAGCUUACCAAGGCGACGAUCGGUAGCUGGUCUGAGAGGACGAUCAGCCACACUGGGACUGAGACACGGCCCAGACUCCUACGGGAGGCAGCAGUGGGGAAUUUUCCGCAAUGGGCGAAAGCCUGACGGAGCAAUACCGCGUGAGGGAAGAAGGCUCUUGGGUUGUAAACCUCUUUUCUUAGGGAAGAAAAAAAUGACGGUACCUAAGGAAUAAGCAUCGGCUAACUCCGUGCCAGCAGCCGCGGUAAUACGGAGGAUGCAAGCGUUAUCCGGAAUGAUUGGGCGUAAAGCGUCCGCAGGUGGCAAGUCAAGUUUGCGGUUAAAGGUUCUGGCUCAACCAGAGACAGGCCGUGAAAACUGACUAGCUAGAGUAUGGUAGGGGCAGAGGGAAUUCCCAGUGUAGCGGUGAAAUGCGUAGAGAUUGGGAAGAACACCGGUGGCGAAAGCGCUCUGCUAGGCCAAAACUGACACUGAGGGACGAAAGCUAGGGGAGCGAAUGGGAUUAGAUACCCCUGUAGUCC
rnacentral:rRNA from 1 species